AUAUACGACCGUACCGCAAACCGACACUGGUGCGCGAGAUGAGUAUUCUAAGGCGCUUGAGAGAACUCAGGAGAAGGAACUCGGCAAAUUGACACCGUAACUUCGGAAGAAGGUGUGCCCUAUUAGUGUGUAGUGAACAACGAAGCAUGAAUGGGUUGCAAAAAAUCGGUGGCUGCGACUGUUUAUUAAAAACACAGCACUCUGCAAACACGAAAGUGGACGUAUAGGGUGUGACGCCUGCCCGGUGCUGGAAGAUUAAAUGAUGGGGUGCAAGCUCUUGAUUGAAGUCCCAGUAAACGGCGGCCGUAACAAUAACGGUCCUAAGGUAGCGAAAUUCCUUGUCGGGUAAGUUCCGACCUGCACGAAUGGCGUAACGAUGGCCACACUGUCUCCUCCUGAGACUCAGCGAAGUUGAAAUGUUUGUGAUGAUGCAAUCUCCCCGCGGAAAGACGGAAAGACCCCAUGAACCUUUACUGUAGCUUUGUAUUGGACUUUGAACAGAUCUGUGUAGGAUAGGUGGGAGGCUUUGAAGCAGGGUCGCUAGAUCUUGUGGAGCCAACGUUGAAAUACCACCCUGGUGUGUUUGAGGUUCUAACCUAGGUCCAUUAUCUGGAUCGGGGACAGUGCAUGGUAGGCAGUUUGACUGGGGCGGUCUCCUCCCAAAGCGUAACGGAGGAGUUCGAAGGUACGCUAGUUACGGUCGGACAUCGUGACGAUAGUGCAAUGGCAUAAGCGUGCUUAACUGCGAGACUGACAAGUCGAGCAGAUGCGAAAGCAGGACAUAGUGAUCCGGUGGUUCUGUAUGGAAGGGCCAUCGCUCAACGGAUAAAAGGUACUCUGGAUAACAGGCUGAUACCGCCCAAGAGUUCAUAUCGACGGCGGUGUUUGGCACCUCGAUGUCGGCUCAUCUCAUCCUGGGGCUGUAGCCGGUCCCAAGGGUAUGGCUGUUCGCCAUUUAAAGAGGUACGUGAGUUGGGUUUAAAACGUCGUGAGACAGUUUGGUCCCUAUCUUCCGUGGGCGCUGCAGAUUUGAGGAAGCCUGCUCCUAGUACGAGAGGACCGGAGUGGACACACCUCUGGUGUAUCGGUUGUCACGCCAGUGGCAUUGCCGAGUAGCUAAGUGUGGAAGAGAUAACCGCUGAAAGCAUCUAAGCGGGAAACUCGUUUCAAGAUGAGAUCUGCCGGGGCCUUGAGCCCCCUAAAGAGUCGUUCAAGACCAGGACGUUGAUAGGUCAGGUGUGGAAGUGAA
rnacentral:rRNA from 1 species